AAUACGUGUAUUGUCAGUGAAUGGAAGUGUGCAGCUGAGCUGUUCUGGGCUGGUUCUGGUUCGGCGCCCUCUUCCACUACCUCUUCCCUUUAACCCAUAUACUCCGGUCGAGCUCCUUUCGCCACACCACCGCCGUGCCGCGCCCAACGUCAACUCUGGUGCUCGCCCCACAAGCAGGGACAAAGCCAGCCAGGAAGACAACAACGGCACUCUAGCUAGGCAUCCAGCCUGCAGAUUAAAUAAAUAUGGAGGGUUGUCACUGCAUCGUCGAGUCGUUCCAGCUAACCAACGAACUCCUUAUUAAGUACCAGUACAUCUCAGACUUCUUCAUAGCCCUCGCCUACUUCUCCAUCCCACUCGAGCUGAUCUACUUCGCCAAGAAGUCGUCAUCCUUCCCCUACAGAUGGGUGCUCAUCCAGUUCAGCGCCUUCAUAGUCCUCUGCGGGACCACUCACCUCAUAAACCUCUGGACCUUCACCAUGCACACCAAGACCGUCGACAUCAUCAUGACGGUGGCUAAGGUCACCACGGCCGUCGUGUCCUGCGCGACCGCCCUCACACUCAUCCAUAUCAUACCUGAUUUGUUGGGUGUCAAGACGAGGGAGUUGUUCCUUAAGAAGAAGGCCGACGAGCUCGACAGGGAGAUGGGCCUCGUACGAACGCAGGAGGAGACGGGGAGGCAUGUCAGGAUGCUCAUCCAUGAGAUCAGGAGCACGCUUGACAGUCACACCAUCCUCAAGACUACCCUGGUUGGGCUCGGGAGGACGUUGGGUCUGGAAGAAUGUGCUUUGUGGAUGCCGUCGAGGAGCGGUUCGAGCCUUGAGCUAACUCAUACCCUGCGCCACCCGACCCCCGCGGGCUCAUCUGUGCAGAUUAAUCUCCCUGUUGUCAACCAAGUCUUCAGUACCAACCGGGCGAUCAUAGUGCCACAUACUUCUCCUUUGGCGAGGAUCCGCACUGUUCAAGGGCGGCAUGUUCCACUCGAUGUGGCUGCCGUAAGAAUCCCGCUGCUGCAUCUUUCAAACUUUCAGCCCGAGCUUUCGGCGAAAAGCUACGGAAUUAUGGUUUUGAUACUCCCAUCUGAUAGUGCAAGGAAAUGGCUUGCUCAUGAACUCGAGCUCAUCGAGGUCAUCGCCGAUCAGGUAGCUGUUGCCCUCUCCCAUGCGGCAAUUCUUGAAGAAUCAAUGCGAGCACGUGAUCUACUAACGGAGCAAAAUGUCGCCCUAGAUUUAGCUCUGCGAGAGGCUGAAAUGGCAGACAACCGCGCUACCACCGACUCAUCUGCUUCUGCAGCCAAGGUGCACAACGCCGACCCAUGAUCGACGCGUCUUCCCCAACUUCGCCCGACACCGCUGUUGCUCUUCUACCCACCCAAUGCAAACCGAGAUGGAAAACAAGGCUUCUCAACCUACAGAAGAUGGUCAGGAAUCGAGUAAUACAACUGAGAUGGCAACCAAGGCUGUAGCUCAAGUGCUUGCGAAGCACACUAAGAAGCCGAGGUUUCUUCAGAAUGUGGGGAUCCAGCACGUCCAUGCGACAUCCAAUGCUAUGAACCGUGAAGCAGAAUUGGCAGCUGAGAAGAGGAAUGUUGAGCUUCAGGCGCGUGUUGACACCUUGACUAACAAGUUGAAGGAAUCUGAAGAAGAAUGGUCCAGGCAACAUGUUGACACCUUUUGUUGUGCAAACUGCGUACUGUUGGAUCCAAACUCGUCGCAUUUUGAUGUUUGAUGGUUAGUGGAUCUGGAGAUGUAAGCUGAAUGCUAUGCUGGAUGUGUUAUGCAGAAUGAGUACUUUAGUAA